CAUAUGUGCUCUGCAGCUGACUUCUAAAUAUCCCAGCAGCUGCACUGCAUGCGUGGCU
ensembl:miRNA